rnacentral:rRNA from 1 species
AGUGGCGGACGGGUGAGUAACACGUGGGAAUCUGCCCAGCAGUACGGAAUAACUUCGGGAAACCAGCGCUAAUACCGUAUACGCCCUUCGGGGGAAAGAUUUAUCGCUGUUGGAUGAGCCCGCGCCCGAUUAGCUAGUUGGUGGGGUAAAAGCCCACCAAGACAACGAUCGGUAGCUGGUCUGAGAGGAUGAUCAGCCACACUGGGACUGAGACACGGCCCAGACUCCUACGGGAGGCAGCAGUGGGGAAUAUUGGACAAUGGGGGCAACCCUGAUCCAGCCAUGCCGCGUGAGUGAAGAAGGCCCUAGGGUUGUAAAGCUCUUUCACCAAGGACGAUGAUGACGGUACUUGGACAAGAAGCCCCGGCUAACUCCGUGCCAGCAGCCGCGGUAAUACGGAGGGGGCUAGCGUUGUUCGGAAUUACUGGGCGUAAAGCGCGCGUAGGCGGUAAUCCAAGUCAGGCGUGAAAGCCCCGGGCUCAACCUGGGAACUGCGCUUGAUACUGGGUAACUAGAGGCCGGGAGAGGGUAGUGGAAUUCCCAGUGUAGAGGUGAAAUUCGUAGAUAUUGGGAAGAACACCGGUGGCGAAGGCGGCUACCUGGACCGGACCUGACGCUGAGGUGCGAAAGCGUGGGGAGCGAACAGGAUUAGAUACCCUGGUAGUCCACGCCGUAAACGAUGAGUGCUAGAUGUUGGGGGGCUUAGCCCUUCAGUGUCACAGCUAACGCGUUAAGCACUCCGCCUGGGGAGUAC